CAGCACAGAUCAAUCAUUUCCAGUGAAGUUGCAUCUUAACUGCAAGACCCGAUGGAUGAACUGCAGUUGUUCUAGCAUGAAUGGAUGCCUGAUAGAUCUCAUGCUCGUAUCGUAGACUCUCCAUCCUUUUGUUUUCAACCUAAGCAUGGCUACCGUCAUCUUGUAGCUUUUCAUAGCUAAUGGUUUUUUUUUUAAUGACAUUAUUCAUUUGUGUUGCUCUUAGUCAUGCCUAACAGAAUUUCAAAUAUAAUCCACAGAGCCAGAAAACCAAACAAAACUAUUGGGAAAUACACAGAACCAUUAUCACCCUAAUAAACAGGCGACUGAAUGGGAGAAUUAUUAUUUAUUGCGUUGUUGUGUGUCGCUUAGUGCGAUGUUUGCCAAGGCAUAAAGCUUUUCUAAACUUACCCAUUUACAAUUAUUAUUGGAUUUCCUAGAUUAGCUGAAAUGAGGGAAAAUGGUGCUUACCCCUCCGUGUUUAACCGACGAGGUAGGCUUAACUCAUUUACACAUUUUGGCUGAGGUGCUUGCAUUGGGCAGGCCAGAGCAGGCGUGAGAGGAAGAAUGUGCAAACGGCUGCUUUGUUCUCAUACCGAACGAACGAACGAACGAACGAACGAACGAAAUGGGGGAGCGUGUGGUUUCUCUGCCUGAAUGAUUUAUAGUAUAAAAUUCUCAACUCAUGGUUGUCUUUGGGGAAUAGAAAAAUGUUUUUUCCCAAGCUUUAAUUCAGCCGGACUGCAAGGCUUCAUCUCCAGCUACUACACUGAUGUGACUCUAACUCGGCCUUUUCUGAGGGUCCCCUGUAGCUAGUCUGGUGACCAGGCCACAGCUUAGACUAAUAGCCUCUUUAUAUGUGAGGAG
rnacentral:lncRNA from 1 species